rnacentral:RNase_P_RNA from 13 species
AUUUUUGGAUAAUCGCGUAGUAUUUCAAUACUAUGAGGAAAGUCCAUGCUAGCACCGGCUGUGAUGCCGGUAGUGUUUGUGCUAGGCGAAAAAAUAAGCCUAGGGAUGCAGAAAUGCAUUACGGCGAAAGAACGAGCUAAGUCUUCGGAUAUGUUUUAGUAUUUCUGAAAGUGCCACAGUGACGCAGUUUCUAUGGAAACGUAGGAAAUGGAACGCGGUAAACCCCUCAAGCUAGCAACCCAAACUUUGGUCGGGGCAUGGAAUAGAUUGGAAACAAGAACGAGCUAUUCUGACUGUUAUACGGUAGACAGAUGAUUAUCGAAGGAGAUGAUACCUAGUCAUCUCUGGAACAAAACAUGGCUUAUAGAA